rnacentral:rRNA from 1 species
AACGAACGCUGGCGGCAUGCCUAACACAUGCAAGUCGAACGAGACCUUCGGGUCUAGUGGCGCACGGGUGCGUAACGCGUGGGAACCUGCCCUUAGGUUCGGAAUAACUCCCCGAAAGGGGUGCUAAUACCGGAUAAUGUCUUCGGACCAAAGAUUUAUCGCCUUUGGAUGGGCCCGCGUUGGAUUAGCUAGUUGGUAGGGUAAAAGCCUACCAAGGCGACGAUCCAUAGCUGGUCUGAGAGGAUGAUCAGCCACACUGGGACUGAGACACGGCCCAGACGCCCCCGGGAGCAAGCAGUGGGGAAUAUUGGAGAAGGGGCGAAGGUUUGUCCCGGCCUUCCCCCGGGAGUGAUAAAGCCAUUAGGGUGGAAAUCUCCUUUUCACCGGGCGGAGAAUGCAACCCCGGGAAGAGUAAGCCACCACUCCCCCGGUC